GACGGAGGGUGCUAGCGUUGUUCGGAAUAACUGGGCGUAAAGGGCGCGUAGGCGGUUUUGUAAGUCAGGCGUGAAAGCCCCGGGCUCAACCCGGGAACUGCGUUUGAUACUGCAAAACUUGAGGACGGAAGAGGAAAGUGGAAUUCCUAGUGUAGAGGUGAAAUUCGUAGAUAUUAGGAGGAACACCAGAGGCGAAGGCG
rnacentral:rRNA from 1 species